rnacentral:misc_RNA from 1 species
CCGAUCCCGCCGGUACUGGUCCCGCGCCCGCCACGCCUUUUCGAAGGUGGCCGCCGUCAGAUCCUCGGCGACGGGGCCCGCUCCAACGCGAUACCGGAAGAAGUUGUAGACGCGUGGAAGCUGCUCCGCGAAGGAAGCAUCCCAGUCCGUUGCGCGCGCCCUCUGGACCCAGAGCCAGAGGCGCGCCGCCGUCGCGUUACCGUUUGCCAUG